UACGGAGGGUGCGAGCGUUGUCCGGAAUCACUGGGCGUAAAGGGCGCGUAGGCGGCGCAAUAAGUCACUUGUGAAAUCUCCGGGCUUAACUCGGAGCGGCCAAGUGAUACUGUUGUGCUAGAGUGCAGAAAGGGCAAUCGGAAUUCUCGGUGUAGCGGUGAAAUGCGUAGAUAUCGAGAGGAACACCUGAGGCGAAGGCGGGUUGCUAGGCUGACACUGACGCUGAGUGCGCGAAAGCUAGGGUAGCAAACGGG
rnacentral:rRNA from 1 species